CGUCAUACCGCUUGACCAAUCACCAUUGACUUCGUUUUGAACUAACCUGUAUAUAUAAGAACCUUGUGAUUUCCAAAUCGAUGACGUCAUAUCGCUCGACCAAUCACUAUUGACUUUUGAACUUCUGAGUUUUGAACUAACCUGUAUAUAUAAGAACCUUGCUCUUAGUAAUAUUAGAGCAAGUACUCAUCAUAUCAGCUAUUGAUAAGAAAAAAGGACAUCUUAUGUACGAUAAGAGAAAUGAGUCACGGAUCCUUUAUCUCCAAAUCCCAACAUAUCAAGAAUCACGAAACAAUCAUUUUCCAAGUGCUAUCAAAUUCCACCAUGCCUUGCUUGGGCAUGGACAAGAGGGGUCGUACGGUAUAUCCGAAGACGUUUUUGGAGCCCAAAGGCAGUGGUAUUCCAGGCGCUGCUUCUAAGUCCACCAUAUCAGACGUUCACAGAAACAGGAGCGGACAUGCGGUACAUCCAAGGAAAUAUUCGGCCCUCAAUGGCAGGAAAGGAUCAAACCGUCCAAAUGCAUCCUUCAAUCGACUCUAUCUUUCGAUGUGUAGUGCCAACCUAAAGUUCAACCAACCUGCUCCCCAUAAGCCAAAAACAGCAUCCUUGAUUGUUAAUGUUCCCAGACGCCUUCCGUUCCCUAUAGCCAAAAUACAAAGAAAGUGAAGAUAUCUGGGGAGGAGAUGUGGUAUAGUGGUUAGCGUAGUUUCCUUAUACGAGAAAGGACCCUCCUCCCUGAUCUUUCUCAAGGAAACUUUUGGACGCUAACCCUACCCACAGACGGAGAACCAAACUGAUACGGACACGACACUGCCUAUCGGAAAAUUAUGUUUGUAUGUAUGUAUGUAUUCGGGCUCGUUGAAUAAAAAGGUAAAAGAAAAUGAAA